AGAUUGAACGCUGGCGGCAGGCCUAACACAUGCAAGUCGAGCGGCAGCACGGGUACUUGUACCUGGUGGCGAGCGGCGGACGGGUGAGUAAUGCCUAGGAAUCUGCCUGGUAGUGGGGGAUAACGCUCGGAAACGGACGCUAAUACCGCAUACGUCCUACGGGAGAAAGCAGGGGACCUUCGGGCCUUGCGCUAUCAGAUGAGCCUAGGUCGGAUUAGCUAGUUGGUGGGGUAAUGGCUCACCAAGGCGACGAUCCGUAACUGGUCUGAGAGGAUGAUCAGUCACACUGGAACUGAGACACGGUCCAGACUCCUACGGGAGGCAGCAGUGGGGAAUAUUGGACAAGUGGGACGAAAGCCUAGGAUCCGAGCCAAUUCGCCGCGGUGUCGUUAGAAGAAGGUUCUUACGGAUUAGUAAAGCAACUUUCCGAAAGGUUUGGGAA
rnacentral:rRNA from 1 species